GAUGAACGCUGGCGGCGUGCUUAACACAUGCAAGUCGAACGGAAAGGCCCUGCUGUUGUGGGGUGCUCGAGUGGCGAACGGGUGAGUAACACGUGAGUAACCUGCCCUUGACUUUGGGAUAACUUCAGGAAACUGGGGCUAAUACCGGAUAGGAGCUCCUGCUGCAUGGUGGGGGUUGGAAAGUUUCGGCGGUUGGGGAUGGACUCGCGGCUUAUCAGCUUGUUGGUGGGGUAGUGGCUUACCAAGGCUUUGACGGGUAGCCGGCCUGAGAGGGUGACCGGCCACAUGGGGACUGAGAUACGGCCCAGACUCCUACGGGAGGCAGCAGUGGGGAAUAUUGCACAAUGGGCGGAAGCCUGAUGCAGCGACGCCGCGUGCGGGAUGACGGCCUUCGGGUUGUAAACCGCUUUCGCCUGUGACGAAGCGUGAGUGACGGUAAUGGGUAAAGAAGCACCGGCUAACUACGUG
rnacentral:rRNA from 1 species